CACGGUUCAGAACGGGUGUUCUUAACUCCCGUCCUUUCCCAGGUGUUCAAACUCCCGUUUGAGCAUUUAAAGGAAGCAAUAGAGAUGCCCUUAGCUUUCCUUUCCUUGCAGAUGGGGAAACUGAGGCUCAGGGAGGCGCUGUAACUGGCCUAAGGUCAUGGGCAAGUUGGUGCAGGACCAAGAUGGGGGUCUCCUCUCCUGACUCCCUCAGGAGACAGUCAAGACUUUAUUCACACAGCUGCCCUCCACCCACAGGCGCUCAGGCACUUUCCCGGAGAGACACGACUCGGUGAUGGCAUCACGGUCUGGUCGCCAGAGUGUGGGUGCCCUCCUCUUCCCUGAGCUUCGGGGCUCUGGAGAGACAGGCCCCCCGCAGCCCACCCCCACGGCCCUCCCCGAGGGUUGGCAAAUCCUCUGCUGUCCGUCCGCUUGAGGCGGGAUCUCCUCUUAUUUGGGCCGGUGUGAGCUGUGCCGACGAGCUUGAUCCUCUCACGCACGCUUUCUGGGGCUGCCUUUCUAUCUGUGUGUAUUUCUUCAAAUUGCAAAAUAUAUCAUGCACAUGGAGUGUAAACUUGCGCUUGUUCUAAGGAAUAACACCAACUAGGUUAAGAAAUAGGAAGUCUGCAGCAACUUUGAAGCCGUCUGGGGACACCCCCCUCACUACCUCCUCCCCUCACCCCCCAAACUAACAAUUAUGCAAACUCUUACGACCAUCAUUCCCUUGCUUUUCUUUCUUUGUGGUUUUUACCUUAUUGUUUAGUUUUGCCUGCUUUUGGACUUUAUGUCAAUGGAAGCACACUUUAUCCCUCUGUGACUUGCUUCUUUCACUCGACAUUGGGUUUAUGAAUUCAUCCAUGUUGUUGUGUGAACCAUAAAUGGUUCAUCUUCAUCGCUCUCUAAUAUUCCGUCGUAUGAAUAUGCAACAAUUUAGUUAUCUGACCUACUGCUGAUAGGCGUUGUUUCCAGUUUUUGGAUAAUUUCACUAAUGCUGCUAUGAAUAUUCAUGUCUCUUGGGGCACAAGGGCAAGAGUUUCUCUAGCACGUAUCUAAGAGUCAAAUUUCUGACGUUUUCAACUUAUGGGGUAGUAACAAACUCUUUUUCAGACGGUUGUACCAACUUCAUCCCCGUCAGCAAUUU
rnacentral:lncRNA from 1 species